CCUACGGGAGGCAGCAGUCGAGAAUCAUUCACAAUGGGGGAAACUCUGAUGGAGCGACGCCGCGUGGGGGAAUGAAGGUCUUCGGAUUGUAAACUCCUGUCAUGUGGGAGCAAAUUAAGAAGAGAGUACCACAAGAGGAAGAGACGGCUAACUCUGUGCGAGCAGCCGCGGUAAAACAGAGGUGUCAAGCGUUGUACGGAAUCACUGGGCGUAAGGCGUGCGUAGGCGGUGUGGUAAGUCGUGUGUGAAAGGCGCGGGCUCAACCCGCGGACGGCACAUGAGACUGCGAGACUAGAGUAAUGGAGGGGGAAGCGGAAUUCUCGGUGUAGCAGUGAAAUGCGUAGAUAUCGAGAGGAACACUCGUGGCGAAGGCGAGUUCCUGGACAUUAACUGACGCUGAGGCACGAAGGCCAGGGGAGCGAAAGGGAUUAGAUACCCGAGUAGUC
rnacentral:rRNA from 1 species